rnacentral:rRNA from 1 species
CGGGUGAGUAACACGUGGAUAACCUACCUAUAAGACUGGGAUAACUUCGGGAAACCGGAGCUAAUACCGGAUAAUAUAUUGAACCGCAUGGUUCAAUAGUGAAAGACGGUUUUGCUGUCACUUAUAGAUGGAUCCGCGCUGCAUUAGCUAGUUGGUAAGGUAACGGCUUACCAAGGCAACGAUGCGUAGCCGACCUGAGAGGGUGAUCGGCCACACUGGAACUGAGACACGGUCCAGACUNCCUACGGGAGGCAGCAGCC